AUAUCUGAGGUGCGACUGCGGGACGUAGAGCGGACUGGGCCUUUCCCGCUGGCCCGUGGCCUCAAUCAGAGAUGGGGUUCCACCAUAUUGCUCACGCUGGCCUAGAACUGCCGAGCUCAAAGAAUCCACCUACCGUGACGUCCCAAAGUUGUGGAAUUGCAGUGCUUCACUGGCCCCGGCCUUAUUUCCAAAAUGAA
rnacentral:antisense_RNA from 1 species